CGCCGUGGGCAGCGGGAGGGACGGGGAUGAGCACGUAGUAGUUAUAUUCCUUUUCUUUUUUGCGUUUCCUCUUCGUGGGAGAAGCCUGAGGCAGCCGGGGAAAGGGUCCCCAGAUCCCCCUGAAGGGAGAGGGCCGCACCCUCCUCCCUCCCGGGAGGAGCAGCUGGCAGUGGGGGCGCGGUGCCUGGCCUGGGUGCUCAGACGAGCCCUCGUCGCGGUUGCGGUACUUGUACAUGGCGUAGAGGAGGAUGAGGAUGCAGAGCGCCGCCGCCGCCACGAUGCCCACCACCAUGCCCGUGGUGCUGCUGGAUUCGCGGAUCACCUCCACCGCGCCCGGCGGGCCGCGCUCCCCCGGACCCGUGGGAAAAAGAAAGAGAAGAGAGAAGAGAGGGCGUCAGCGAGGGCCGGGGCGCGGGCGGCCGGCACAGAGAGAGAAACAACAGCCUCACACCCAAAUCGGUUCAAUUGGCUUUGGCGGAGACUACGCGGGCCGGGCCCGCCCGCCAGCCGGCCAGCGCCUGCGCUUUAAGCGGGCUGCGGCUCGGAUGCCCUGGGCACCCCACGCGCGGGCUCUGUGACUCUGGGUUUUGGUCUUUUUGUUUCGUCUUAAGAAACCAAACGGAACAGAAAGGAAAGGAAAUUGAAAAGAAACGGAAUUUUUUUCUACUGGUUUAAAGCUUUAAAAACAUACAACAGCAGCAUUUAAACAAACCUAACAACAAUAUCUUUUAGGGUUUUUUUUAUAUAUAUAUCUUUUUUGCUUUUUUUUUUUGCUUUUGUUUUUAAAAAAGAAGAUAGCAUACCACGGAAUUCAGGCAACUUACAUCAACAAAUAGGCCGUGUGAUUUUAGCAUGAAGAAAAGAAUUACAAACAGAGCUGUGUAAGCGGGUUCUCCCGAAAAAAAUAAAAAAAUAAAAAAAAAACAAUUUUCCGCA